rnacentral:lncRNA from 1 species
UUUUCUCUCAAUUUCUUCGGGCAUGAGGGUCGUCUGGCAGCAACAAGAGAGGUACAUGACAUCACUUUCAAUAUUUUAGCAGGCUCACUUGGUAAGUUUGGUUUGCCUUUUCCUUCUCAGGUUGCAGAUCCUCAUCUGUGACUGCAGCCACGUCACAGGUGAGGACAUAUUGUCAUGUUGCAGCUUGCUGUUGAAGCAGGGCGGCAGAAGAUGGAUUUACUUGACGGGGCUGUUUGCACCAGUUCUUCUGGCUUUUCUGGGCCUCCAUGGUUGGUGUGGAGGGGUCUUAAUAUGGAUGAGAUAAUGCUCAGUUACAUGCUGCUGAAUAGAACCAACAGAUAUAAAAGAAUUUUAGAUUGUCCUGUUAAUGUCUAUGUUUUAUGUGUAUUUCUGCUGCAGCCUUUCAGGUGUCAUCAUGAAUGUCAUCAUCUCAUUAUCCUUGUUGAUCUUCUUUGUAAUUUUGUCCUCAUUGAUCUGGUUCUGCAUAAAAAGACAAAAGCAGAUCCAGGAGGAACCAUCAGCUGAGAUGUUGGCUGAAGAUACAGUGAUUUACACCAAUAUGAGAGGAAAACGAAAACCUCCAGUGAAGGUAAAAUAACAACAACAACAACAACAAUAAUAAUAAUAAUCAUUUAAAGUCAUUUAAUAAAGUCAUUUGUCAUGACUCUUUCUCUUCCCUCAUGCAGCCAUUGAAACCUGAGGGCACCAAACAUUCUGUGAGUUUUCCAAAAAAGAGGAUGCAGUCGAACGGUAAAUAUCAAAACUUAUGAGAAUCAUCAUAUCACCACUUUGUGGCCUUCCAUCCUAAAUCUGCCCUCAUGUGUGUUUUGUUUUCACGGGAUCCCACUAACUUAUACAUCAAUAUUUCUCAUCAUCACACAUCCUAGAAUUUGUCACCUAUGCUGGGUUCUUGCUUAUUGUGAGAAGAAUUAUUGUUGUUAUUAUUAUUAUCGUUUCAAUGCUAUAGUAAGUAUAGUAAGUAGAUUUAGAAUGUUUAAGAAAAGGAAUGUAUGAGUGUUUGAAUCAAGUAUUGAAGCUGUUAGGUACCCAGCACUGAGAGGUACCAUGUUCAAGGACACGAGGAAGUCGUAGAGAUAGGAAGAGAAGGAAUCAUGAGGUCAGAUUGACAUAAAUCUUGUGUGCACCAAAUAAAAGAGGAGAGCGAGCAGCAGACGGACGGAGUUGAGA